rnacentral:misc_RNA from 1 species
UUGACUGCAUUAGGAUUCAAUCCUUGCUGCUAAAUGUAUUGCUUAUAUUCAGCAAUAUAAUGUUCAGCAGCAAGAACUGGAUCUUAAUAU